UACGGGGGAAGCAAGCGUUGUUCGGAUUUACUGGGCGUAAAGGGCGCGUAGGCGGUCAGCACAAGUCAAUUGUGAAAUCUCCGAGCUUAACUCGGAAAGGUCAACUGAAACUGUGCGACUAGAGUGCGGAAGGGGCAACUGGAAUUCUUGGUGUAGCGGUGAAAUGCGUAGAUAUCAAGAGGAACACCUGCGGCGAAGGCGGGUUGCUGGGCCGACACUGACGCUGAAGCGCGAAAGCCAGGGGAGCGAACGGG
rnacentral:rRNA from 1 species